ACAGUACUCCCUCCGUCCGAAAAUACUUGUCAUAGAAAUGGAUGUAUCUAGACCUAUUUUAGUUUUAGAUACAUCAAUUUUUAUCCAUUUCUAAGACAAGUAUUUCCGGACGGAGGGUGUGUGGG
rnacentral:pre_miRNA from 1 species